rnacentral:rRNA from 1 species
AUGGCUGUCGUCAGCUCGUGUCCGUGAGGUGUUGGGUUAAGUCCCGCAACGAGCGCAACACCUGUCGCCAGUUAUACGUGUCUGGCGAGACCGCCGGGAGAAACCCGGAGGAAGGUGGGGAUGACGUCAAGUCAGCAUGGCCCUUACGUCCUGGGCUACACACACGCUACAAUGGGCCGGUACAAAGGGCUGCGAUGCCGUGAGGUGGAGCGAAUCCUUUCAAAGCCGUUCUCAGUUCGGAUCGGGGUCUGCAACUCGACCCCGUGAGUCGGAGUCGCUAGUAAUCGCAGAUNAGCAGGCUGCGGUGAUA